CCUACGGGUGGCAGCAGUGGGGAAUAUUGCUCAAUGGGGGAAACCCUGAACCAGCGACGCCGCGUGAGGGAUGAAGUAUUUCGGUACGUAAACUCCUUUCAGUAGGAAAGAAAAUGACGGUAUCUGACUAAUAAGCCCCGGCUAACUACGUGCCAGCAGCCGCGGUAAUACGUAGGGUGCAAGCGUUACCCGGAUUCACUGGGCGUAAAGGGAGCGUAGGCGGGAGAGCAAGUCAGAUGUGAAAUGCCAUGGCUCAACCCUAGAACUGCAGUGGAAACUGUGAAGCUAGAGUGUGGGAGAGGUAGGUGGAAUUCCUGGUGUAGCGGUAAAAUGCGUAGAGAUCAAGAGGAACAC
rnacentral:rRNA from 1 species